CACGUAGGGUGCGAGCGUUGUCCGGAAUUAUUGGGCGUAAAGAGCUCGUAGGCGGUGUGUCGCGUCGGCCGUGAAAACCUGCAGCUUAACUGUGGGCUUGCGGUCGAUACGGGCAUCACUGGAGUUCGGCAGGGGAGACUGGAAUUCCUGGUGUAGCGGUGAAAUGCGCAGAUAUCAGGAGGAACACCGGUGGCGAAGGCGGGUCUCUGGGCCGACACUGACGCUGAUGCGCGAAAGCCAGGGGAGCGAACGGG
rnacentral:rRNA from 1 species